GAGUUUGAUCCUGGCUCAGGAUGAACGCUGGCGGUCUGCUUAACACAUGCAAGUCGAACGGACUCUUCGGAGUUAGUGGCGGACGGGUGAGUAACGCGUGAGAAUCUAGCUUCAGGAUGGGGACAACAGUGGGAAACUGCUGCUAAUACCCGAUGUGCCGGAAGGUGAAAGAUUUAUUGCCUGAAGAUGAGCUCGCGUCCGAUUAGCUAGUUGGUAGGGUAAGAGCCUACCAAGGCGACGAUCGGUAGCUGGUCUGAGAGGAUGACCAGCCACACUGGGACUGAGACACGGCCCAGACUCCUACGGGAGGCAGCAGUGGGGAAUUUUCCGCAAUGGGCGAAAGCCUGACGGAGCAAGACCGCGUGGGGGAGGAAGGCUCUUGGGUUGUAAACCUCUUUUCUCAAGGAAGAAGACAGUGACGGUACUUGAGGAAUCAGCAUCGGCUAACUCCGUGCCAGCAGCCGCGGUAAUACGGAGGAUGCAAGCGUUAUCCGGAAUUAUUGGGCGUAAAGCGUCCGUAGGUGGCAAUUCAAGUCUGCCGUUAAAACCAGUGGCUUAACCACUGAAUAGCGGUGGAAACCGAAUAGCUAGAGUGUGGUAGGGGUAGAGGGAAUUCCCAGUGUAGCGGUGAAAUGCGUAGAGAUUGGGAAGAACACCGGUGGCGAAAGCGCUCUGCUGGACCACAACUGACACUCACAGGACGAAAGCUAGGGGAGCGAAAGGGAUUAGAUACCCCUGUAGUCCUAGC
rnacentral:rRNA from 1 species